UGGAUUCUGUUUGUUGCUCCACACUGUGGUC
rnacentral:piRNA from 1 species